rnacentral:misc_RNA from 1 species
GAUGAAGAACGUAGCGAAAUGCGAUAAGUAAUGUGAAUUGCAGAAUUCAGUGAAUCAUCGAAUCUUUGAACGCACAUUGCGCCCGCCAGUAUUCUGGCGGGCAUGCCUGUUCGAGCGUCAUUUCAACCAUCAAGCCCCCGGCUUGUGUUGGGGGCCUGCGGCUGCCGCAGGCCCUGAAAACCAGUGGCGGGCUCGCUGUCACACCGAGCGUAGUAGAUUUUCAUCUCGCUCAGGGCGUGCUGCGGGUUCCGGCCGUAAAAAGCCUUAUUUACCCAAGGUUGACCUCGGAUCAGGUAGGAAGACCCGCUGAACUUAAGCAUAUCAAUAAGCGGAGGA